GCUCCGAUGACAGACUCAGUCGGAUAGAGCGUCUGCCACGUAAGCAGGAGAUCCCGGGUUCGAGUCCCGGUCGGGGCA